rnacentral:rRNA from 1 species
AACGAACGCUGGCGGCAGGCCUAACACAUGCAAGUCGAACGCCCCGCAAGGGGAGUGGCAGACGGGUGAGUAACGCGUGGGAACCUUCCCUGUGGUACGGAAUAACUGACCGAAAGGUUAGCUAAUACCGUAUACGUCCGAGAGGAGAAAGAUUUAUCGCCACAGGAUGGGCCCGCGUCGGAUUAGCUAGUUGGUGAGGUAAUGGCUCACCAAGGCGACGAUCCGUAGCUGGUCUGAGAGGAUGAUCAGCCACACUGGGACUGAGACACGGCCCAGACUCCUACGGGAGGCAGCAGUGGGGAAUAUUGGACAAUGGGCGCAAGCCUGAUCCAGCCAUGCCGCGUGAGUGAUGAAGGUCUUCGGAUUGUAAAACUCUUUCGCCGGGGAAGAUAAUGACGGUACCCGGAGAAGAAGCUCCGGCUAACUUCGUG